rnacentral:lncRNA from 1 species
AAGAGCAGCCGGGGGAUCAGUGUGACGAUAGGGAGGGAACAGAGUGAGCGAGGGGGAGAGAAACAGAGGAUGAGUCAGAGGUCCCAGGAGGUGAGCAUGGAGGGCCCUGUGGAUCAGGGCAGGGACCUGCGUAUUUGCCUUGAGUGCAAUGGAGCACCUUGGGGUAGUGAGGAGGUCCUUGGGACAGAAAAGCCACAAGCAGGGAGACUCUGGAAGGAGGAGGGGAGGAAAAGGCCCAGGGUAGUUGGUAGUGAGUCUCCUUCCCCUCCUCUCCCUGCCCUCCACGGUGUCCAGAUCUGGGCCUGCUCCAUCCAUGCAGCUGCCCAAGAGGUGCUGGGUUGAAUCCAGAGAGGCAGCCCUAUAUGAGAUUGGUAUUCAAUGUUAUGACUGUUAUGAUUUCUUCAUGUGUUUACUCUUCUGUGUAAUAUCACUAAUUUUUCUAACCUCAAACUCUUUGCCAGUUGUCCAAACCUUUUUCAGUAUUUUCAUUCACAUCAAGAUACCAAUUUGAUAUCCUGAACAUCAACAAAAAGGACGUCCACACCAAAACCCCAUCUGUAGACCACCAACAUCAAAGACCGAAAGUAGAUAAAAUCACAAAGAUGGGGAGAAACCAGAGCAGAAAAGCAGAAAAUUCCAAAAAAACAGAGAACCUCUUCUCCUCCAAAGGACCACAGCUCCUCACCAGCAAGGGAACAAAACUGGAUGGAGAAUGAGUUUGACAAGUUGAUAGAAGCGGGCUUCAGAAGGUCAGUAAUAACAAACUUCCAAGCUAAAGGAGCAUGUUGUAACCUAUCGCAAGAAAGCUAAAAACCUUAAAAACAAAAAAAAAGGUUAGAUGCAUGGCUAACUAGAAUAAACAGUGUAGAGAAGAACUUAAAUGACCCGAUGGAGCUGAAAACCACAGCACGAGAACUUUGUGACUCAUGCACAAGUUUCAAUAGCUGAUUCAAUCAAGUGGAAGAAAGGAUAUUAGUGAUUGAAGAUCAAAUUAAUGGAAUAAACUGUGAAGAGAAGAUUAGAGAAAAAAAGAGCCAAAAGAAAUGAACAAAGCCUCCAAGAAAUAUGGGACUUUGUGAAAAGAACAAAUCUACAUUUGAUUGGUGGACCUGAAAGUGACGGUGAGAAUGGAACCAAGUUGGAAAACACUCUUCAGGAUAUUAUCCAGGAGAACUUCCCCAACCUGGCAAGGCAGACCAACAUUCAAAUUCAGGAAAUACAGAGAACACCACAAAGAUACUCCUUGAGGAGAGCAACCCCAAGACACAUAAUUGUCAGAUUCCCCAAGGUUGAAAUGAAGGAAAA